GCUCAGAUUGAACGCUGGCGGCAGGCCUAACACAUGCAAGUCGAGCGGUAGAGAGAAGCUUGCUUCUCUUGAGAGCGGCGGACGGGUGAGUAAUGCCUAGGAAUCUGCCUGGUAGUGGGGGAUAACGUUCGGAAACGGACGCUAAUACCGCAUACGUCCUACGGGAGAAAGCAGGGGACCUUCGGGCCUUGCGCUAUCAGAUGAGCCUAGGUCGGAUUAGCUAGUUGGUGAGGUAAUGGCUCACCAAGGCGACGAUCCGUAACUGGUCUGAGAGGAUGAUCAGUCACACUGGAACUGAGACACGGUCCAGACUCCUACGGGAGGCAGCAGUGGGGAAUAUUGGACAAUGGGCGAAAGCCUGAUCCAGCCAUGCCGCGUGUGUGAAGAAGGUCUUCGGAUUGUAAAGCACUUUAAGUUGGGAGGAAGGGCAGUUACCUAAUACGURAUUGUUUUGACGUACCGACA
rnacentral:rRNA from 1 species